CUCACCUCACCUCUUGCUCACCUGUCUCACUUCCCCCGUUAGUCAGUCACUUUUAUACCACCUCAGUUCCUUUGUUCUUUGCAGGUUCGUCUUUCAUCAUUGGAGUUUGUUUUGCCCGUUACCCGCCUGGUGUUACCUGCCUGCUUUUUGGACUCUGAUUGAGCGAACGCAGCAUCAAAGGUGAACAUCUUUGGAGGGACCUGAUUGGCUCCCGCCUUUUUCUGGGAGGCAGCGCUUGGCGACUGAUUGACUGAGGGGUCCAUGAUGGUGAUUUGUUUCUUCCUGGGGUCCACUUUGAGGAAGGAACUGGACUCUGGAGCUGCGUCCGACUGAGACACUGGGCAGACACGCACCAUCACUUUCACCUGAUGUGAAUACUGAUGAAAGGUGGUGAGCUGCAGAAACGAAGGCUAGGAAAAAAACACGAGGAAGAGAUGCUAGAGAAAUCCAUUUGUUGCAGUUGAUUGAGGACGGGCAGGCUGCCAGCAGGGCAACAGGAAGACAAAGUUGAUUUGAUUACACGGCUCAUCGACGACUGCUGACUGGAUAGGUGAUUUAUAAAUAAACACACCAGAAGAUUAAAUGACUUGAGAGGCAUCAGCAUGAGCAGUCAGACUGUGAAGAUGACCAGGAUGAACCAAACCCAAGGAUUACUCUGACACAAAUGAGCCGGGGAACUUCCACUGCCUGAGGCCGGCGACCCCGUCCCAAAACCCGGGGAGCCACCCAGAGAGCCAGGUGAUUCUGUCCCAAUCCCCGGAGAGAUGGUCCCUGGUGAUCCAGAGAAGGACCCUGGUGAGGAAAUUCCUGAGCCUGGGGACGGGGUGCCCGUGGAGCUAGGCAUGGAGCCGGCACCCUCUGGGGUGGGGCGUGUGCCAGAGCGGGCGUUUUCCUCGUAAGGCUUUCGGUACCAUGUGUCCGGGAAAAAGGAGGCAGAUUUGGUCGGGGAAGUGUCGGGCAUCUACGAAAAAAAAAAAAAAUGUAUUAAAAAAGAUUUUCAUGGCAGACAUUUUGACCUGUCAUAGCAGGAAAAGCACAGGUGUAAAUAAUAAUAUCAAUUAAUAUUAAUAAAUGGAUGAAUUCCACAAAGGUUUUGCAAUUCAAUUAAAAAAAGUCUAUAUUGUGUGAAUAUGUGCAACAUCCCACUCAUCCCAUUUCACACAACAGGUUAGAUGAGAAUAAAAUAAUGAGGAAGGGGUGAGGGCAUGUGUCUUUUAUCAUGCAAAUUAAAGUCAAACCAUUUGCAUUUUGCCUGUAAAG